rnacentral:rRNA from 1 species
CUCCCCUACAAAGAGUCAACCUGCCCUGGAGACAAGGACAACCCCUGGAAACUGGGAUUAAUCCUUGAUAGGUCAUCUCACCUGGAAGGAGAGAUGGCUUAAAGGGGUACGCGGGCUUCUUCCGCGAAUCUGCUCCAGGAUGGGACUGCGUCCGAUCAGGCUGUUGGCGGGGUAAUGGCCCACCAAACCUGUAACCGGUACGGGCCUUGAGAGAGGUGGCCCGGAGAUGGACACUGAGAGAAGGGUCCAGGUCCUACGGGGCGCAGCAGGCGCGAAACCUUCGCAAUGCGCGAAAGCGUGACGAGGUUAAUCCGAGUGACUUCCGCUGAGGAGGUCUUUUGUCAGCUGUAAAUAGGCAGGCGAAUAAGGGGAGGGCAAGCCUGGUGUCAGCCGCCGCGGUAAUACCAGCUCCUCGAGUGGUCGGUGCGAUUAUUGGGCCUAAAGCAUCCGUAGCCGGUUCCGUAGGCCCUCUGUUAAAUCCAACCGCUUAACGGUUGACAUGCAGAGGAUACCGCGAGACUAGGAGGCGGGAGAGGCGGACGGUACUCCGUGUGGAGGGGUAAAAUCCUUUGAUCCGCGGAAGA